CCCGGCACUGCCGUGCCGGGCUAUCGCAUUACGCCCCUCCGGGGCU
rnacentral:sRNA from 1 species